UGUGAGCUGGCACAAUUUCAACAUAGCAGAUGGACAUGCAACGAAAUAACUAGCAAAGAGACCUUGUUUCAACAUCAAAUAUGUUUCCGUAGGGCCAGAUUCUUGGGCAAAUUUGUUUUAGUGAUCUGGUUGCAACUAAGUUGUCAAAGAUCAGAUGAUUGUAGAUGUGUGGCACUGCUUCUGAGGCCUCUUAUAAAGACAUCUGUACAGGUUCCUCUUGGCUGUGCCAUUUUCUCAGAUUGUCCUUAUUUUUGAAGAUUUUGACAUUUUGGAGGAGUACGGAUGAGGCACUUUGUAGAAUGUUUCUCGAUUAGAAUUUGUCUGACGAUUUUCUCAUGAUUUUGUCGAGAUUAUGAGUUUUGGGGAGGAAGAUCACAGAAGCCCACCUUUGUCAUUUCUAUCACACCACAUCCAGGAUACAUACUAUCAUGACUUAAUACUAUCGAUGUUAACCUUGAUUACCUAGCUAACUCAUUCCUUUUUAUUACUAUCCUGUUUUAUGUAUGUGACACAGUUUGUUUAUCCAAUCACUUUCUAAAGACAUUUAGGUCAUUUACAGUUUGGAAGAAUAUGUAUAGUGCUGCUAUAAAUAUUCAUGUACAGAUUUUGAUGAGAACAUAGUUUUCCUUACUUUGGGGUAAAUACUUAGUCGUGGGACUAUUACAAGUUAAGAGUAGAUUUAACUUUACAAGAAUUUGCUACACUAUUUUUUUUUUUUUUUUUUUUUGAGAUGGAUUUUCGCUCUUGUUACCCAGGCUGGAGUGCAAUGGCCUGAUCUCGGCUCACCGCAGCCUCCGCCUCCUGGGUUCAGGCAAUUCUCCUGCCUCAGCCUCCUGAGUAGCUGGGAUUACAGGCACGCACCACCAUGCCCAGCUAAUUUUUUGUAUUUUUAGUAGAGACGGGGUUUCACCGUGUUGACCAGGAUGGUCUCGAUCUCUUGACCUGGUCAUCAACCCUCCUCUGCCUCCCAAAGUGCUGGGAUUACAGGCUUGAGCCACCGCGCCUGGAUUUUUCUAAGGGAACAGUUUGACAUUUCCACCAGCAAUGAAUCACCAUUUCUGUUACUUAUUGUUAUUUUUUUUGUAUUUUCUUUAGCCAUUUUGCCAUAUGUCUAGUGCUACCGCAUCAUGGUUUCACUUUGCAUUUCUCAAAUGGCAAAUAAUAUAAAAUUUUCACGUGCUUACUUGUCUUCUAUGUAUUAUUUGAGGGAGUAACUAUUUGCCAUUUAUCACUAUUUGUCGUUUAUCAGUUUUUGAAAGUUCGUUGUUUAUUCCCUUUCUGUUGAGUUUUGAUACUUGACUGCCUAUUCUGGAUAUGAGAUGUUUGUCAUAUAUGUGUUUUUCUAAUAUUUUCUCCCAUUGUUGCUUGUAUUUUCCUCCUCUGAACAGAGUAUGUCUUUCACAGAGAAAAUUAUUUCAAUCUUAGCAAAGACAAUUUCUUGAUUUUUUUUCUUUUAUAGACAAUUAUUUUGCAAGCCCAAGAUCUCAAAGGUAUUCAGGAACUCUAGCAAGUCCUAGGUCUCAAAGGUAUUUUCCUAUGGCAUUUUUAAAAAGUUUUUCAGCUUUAUGAUUUACAGUUAAGUUGAAAUCCAUUUUGAGUUAGUUUUUUUACAUAAGGCAUGAGAUUCAGUUCAAGUUUUUUUUUUUUUUUGUCUGUAGAUAUCAAAUUGUUCCAGCACUAUUUGUUGAAAAGACUUUCUUCCAUUGAACCCUUUCACACUUUUGUGAAAUACCAGUUGUCUGUAUUUCUAUGGGGUUAUUCUCUAGGUUCUCUGUUUUGUUCCACUGAUUUAUACAUCUAUCUCUCCACAAAUACCACACAGAAUGAUUACUACAGCUCUGUAAUAAGAAAUUUGAAAUCAGAGUGAGUAAUAACCCUUUCAUCUUUAUCCUUUUUUAAAUUUUUACCUAUUCUAGUUUCUUUACCUUGCCAUGUAAAUGUUAAAGUAACCUUUUGUAUAUCUACAAAAUAUUUUUCUGGAAUUUUGAUAGAAAUUGUUUUUAAUCUUUUUGUGAAUUUAUAUAUAGUUGACAUUUCUAGUAGUUUUCCAAUUCAUGAACACUGUAUGUCUCUCCAGUUAUUUAUAUCUUCUCUGAUUUCUUUUUUUUUUUUUUUUUUUUUUUUGAGACAGAGUUUCGCUCUUGUUCCCUAGGCUGGAGUGCACUGGUGCAAUCUCGGCUCACUGCAACCUCCGCCUCCUGGUUUCAGGCUAUUCUCCUGCCUCAGCCUCCCGAGUAGCUGGGAUUACAGGCAUGCGCCACCAUGCCCAGCUAAUUUUUUUUUUGUAUUUUUAGUAGAGACGGGGUUUCACCAUAUUGACCAGGAUGGUCUCGUUCUCUUGACCUGUGAUCCACCCGCCUCGGCCUCCCAAAGUGCUGGGAUUACAGGCUUGAGCCACAGCACCCGGCCUCUCUGAUUUCUUUUAUGAGAAUUUUGUGGUUUUCAGUAUAUAGAUUCUGUACAAGAUUUAUGAGAGUUGUAGCUAUACAUUUCAUGAUUUUGGAGCUAAUGUAAAUGUUAUUAAAAAAUAUGUCCAACUAAUUAUCAGUACUAUACAGAAAAACAACUGUGUUUUUGGCUGUUUUUCUUGUAUCUUAUGGCCUUGUCCAACUCUUUCAUUAGUUAUACAGUAUUUUUAUAGAUUUCUUGAGAUUUUCUGUGCAAUCAUAUCUCCCCAUACUAGGUGUGCAGUGAUGGUUUCACAUACGCAAGUCAAUAAAUAUGAUACACCACAUAAAAAGAAUUAAAAGCACAAUCAUGUGAUCAUCUCAAUAGAUGCAGAAAAAGCAUUUGACAAAAUCCAGCAUCAUGAUUAAAACCCUCAGCAAAAUCGUCAUACAAGGAACACACCUUAAUGUAAUAAAAGCCAUCUAUAACAAACCUACAGCCAACAUAAUACUGAGUGGGUAAAAGUUGAAAGCAUUUCCUCUGAGAACUGGAACAAGACGAGGAUGCCCACUUUCACCACUUUUAUUCAGUAUAGUACUGGAAAUCCUAGCCAGAGCAAUCAGACAAGGGAAGGAAAUAAAGGGAAUCCAAAUCAGAAAAGAGGAAGUUAAAUUGUCCCUGUUUGCUGAUGAUAUGAUCAUUGACCUGGGAAACCCUAAAGAUACUCCAAAAAGCUCCUAGAAUUGAUAAAUGAAUUCAGCAAAGCUUCAGGAUACAAAAAUUAAUGUACACAAAUCAGUAGCUCUGCUAUACACCAAGAGCAACCAAGCUGAGAAUCAAAUGAAGAACUCAACCCCUUUUACAUUAGCAGUAAAUAUAUAUAUAUAUAUAUAUAUAUAUUCUAGUUUUAGCCAAGUAAUUUCCAGAUUGUACAAUUUUGCAUUAGAACCAGUAAUAUACCAGAGUUUCACAUCUUUGCCAUAAUUUGCUAUUGUCAAGCUGUUAAAUGUUAACCCCUUAACAAGGAGUAGUAUCUCAUUGUGCUUUCAAUAGCUUAUGCCUUCAAUUUAUACCUUAUUUAUUAAUGAAUAUUGAUGCUAAGAGCCUUUUCAUUUGUUUUUUGGUCAGUCAAACAUCUUUUUUUUUUUUGUGACGUGCUCAUUAAAACAUUUGACCCAUCUUCAUUUGCUUAUUUUUUAUUAUUGUUGACUUGUAAGCAUUUUUUAACAUAUUCUAGUUAGUUCUUUGACACGACUUUUGUAGGUAGUUUCUACUAACUGCCUUUCUUUUUUCACAACACUGUCUUUUAAAGAACAGCUGUAUUUAAUGUCAAGAAAGUGAAUUUAUCAUAUUUCCAUGAUGCCUAUUGUUUUAGUGUUCUAAGAAAUCUUUGCCUGUCCCUUUGCCUGUGAAAAUACUCUCAACCCCUGCACAUAUUCCACUGAAGACAAAAAUUUUUGUACAUUUGUAUUUUGCUUGGCUUUUAACCCUAAUCACUCUCUGGUCAGGAUUCAUGUUGCUAUAAUCUGGAAUAAUAUUUCAAAUUCCUGUUUAAGUAGUUAUUUUGUAGUAUCAGUAUUUAUUUAUAUCUAACAUUAUGUUUAAUUGAUAUGUGUAUUGUCUACUGCCAUACCCCCCUGAAUGCUCCAGAUCUCAUCUGAUAGAUAUAUGUGCUUUUUAGUGCUUCUUGAAACACUCAUUUUAUUCUGAAUCCCCUUUUCUUUAUUUUACUGAAGUACUUUCUCUAUUAAUGAGUUUAACAUGUGAACUUUCUGAGUUCUUGCAUGACUAGAGAAACCUGGUCCAUGCAUGUUGAUAAAGAUAGGAAAAACACUCUAGAUUUAAAGUAACUUUCUAUUUUUUUUAUAACUUUGAGGCUAGCCUUAUUCAUAGUUUGUUGAAUAUCAACAAGUAUGAAAAAAUGAUCUGUUCCGCUCUUAGUGAAAUAAUUUAAAAUAACAAUUUUAUUAAGUUUUGUAGAAAGUGUUAGGGACUCUUUUUCUUUUCCCUUUUAUUCCUUUAACUCGCUAAUUUUGGAAGUAGUUUUAGAUAUAUAUUGGAAAGUCUUUAUAUAUUCUCCAUGUCUCUUCAUUUGUAUUUCAUAUUUUACAUCUCUUUACUUUUUUAUGUUGUACAGGAAGAUUUUCUUAGCUCCUUAUCAAUAUCCAUUCUACUAUUUAGACAUUAUCUGAAGUCAAAUUUGUUAUUUGAAUAGGCAUAUUUUAUUUCUAAAAUUGUGAAUUUUUAAAAAUAAUUGCUUUUUAUUUCAUGUAUGUGUCAUUUCACUAUUAAAUCAUUUUUUCAGAUGACUCUAUUAUUUGUGUUUCGUUGGCUGCUACUUUCACUUACUAUCAAGCAUUCGAUAUUUGGUGACAUUAGAUAUUUGGUGAUAUGUGCUUAUUCUCUACAACAUGACAAUUCUAUGCUUCAUAUGGGCUGCACGAACUCUGCAGAAGAUUGUGUGUAGGAGACUUCUGUAGUGGUGGAAGACUGCUUGUCUUCUCUUAGCAGAUGAGACAGCUGUGUUUUUUCCACAUGAGUUGGCUAGAGAGACUUGCUAAUACUGUGUGCAUUACAGCUCCAAGAAGGUUCAGCCACUGAGGCUGUCAGGCACCACAUUUCCCAUCUUCCUAGUGAAGUGGCCAAGAGUGCUCCGAGAAAAGCCUCAAAUAUUCACCAUUCCCUUGGCUUUCUACCUUGGUUUUGUUUUUGCUAUUUUCUGUCAAACAGUGCAUCAGGGUAUCAGUCCACAGAUAAUGCCCAUUCUUAGUUUUCAAAAUUUAUAAACUUCUUUUUUCUUGUUUGUUUUCUUUUCUACAGUAUUGGAGUUGUUGUGCCUUGAAGCUAAAACUGACUUGAAUGUCUACCUAGGAAAAUGUAAUCUAUUGCUUUUUUACAGGUAAACAUUUAUCAUGUAAAGAUUGCUCUCUCCUUGGCAAUACCUUCUAGGUAGAAGUAGAAUUGAAAGGCUGGGCACAGUGGCUUAUGCCUGUAAUCCCAGCAUUUUGGGAGGCUGAGGUGGGUGCAUCAUGUCAGGAGUUCAAAACCAGCUGGGCCAAGAUGGUGAAACUCCAUUUCUACUAAAACCAGAAAAAUUAGCAGGGCGUGGUGGCAGGUGCCUGUAAUCCCAGCUACUAGGGAGGCUGAGGCAAAGAAUUGCUUGAACUGGGGAGGUGGAGGUUGCAGUGAGCAGACAUAUUGUGCCACUGCACUCCAGCCUGAGUGACAGAGUGAGACUAUGUCUCAAAA